UACCGCGUGUGUGAAGAAGGCCUUAGGGUUGUAAAGCACUUUCAAUUGGGAGGAAAACCUACCGGUCAAUACCCGGUAGCUUGACAUUACCUUUAGAAGAAGCACCGGCUAACUCCGUGCCAGCAGCCGCGGUAAUACGGAGGGUGCGAGCGUUAAUCGGAAUUACUGGGCGUAAAGCGUGCGUAGGCGGUUCGUUAAGUCAGAUGUGAAAGCCCUGGGCUCAACCUGGGAACUGCAUUUGAAACUGGCGGACUAGAGUUUAGUAGAGGGGAGUGGAAUUUCAGGUGUAGCGGUGAAAUGCGUAGAUAUCUGAAGGAACACCAGUGGCGAAGGCGACUCCCUGGACUAGAACUGACGCUGAGGUACGAAAGCGUGGGUAGCAAACAGGAUUAGAUACCCUGGUAGUCCACGCCGUAAACGAUGUCAACUAGCCGUUGGGCCUAUAUACAGGUUUAGUGGCGCAGCUAACGCAUUAAGUUGACCGCCUGGGGAGUACGGCCGCAAGGUUAAAACUCAAAUGAAUUGACGGGGGCCCGCACAAGCGGUGGAGCAUGUGGUUUAAUUCGAUGCAACGCGAAGAACCUUACCUACCCUUGACAUCCAGAGAAU
rnacentral:rRNA from 1 species